GAAAUAUGAGAUUCAGAUGAAAGCUUCUAACUUUCCCCCUAAGCGGCGCACCUCCGUUUAUAUUUCU
rnacentral:tRNA from 1 species